GCCUGGGUAGCUCAGUUGGUAGAGCAGCUCAUUUGUAAUGAGCGGGUCGGGAGUUCGAGCCUCUCCGCAGGCG
rnacentral:tRNA from 1 species